AAAUGGCUAUAAGAUGUUUCUGUGUCUAAGAUUUCUUGUUAGAAAUACAUAGCAAAUACAUUGUCACCCCUAGCUCUGUUCUCUUGAGUUGGUCAGGCUACUCUGUGAAGGAUUUUCCCACCCAUCUGGUUUUGGGUUUUGCUAGCACAUCAUGAGAGCCUGAUAGGGGUGGGGGUAGGUGGGUAGCUUGUGGUUUCCAUAUGCAGUAUGUAAGCUUUAAUUGAAUUUCCUGCUUCCCUUUCUACUCAUAGGUCAUCGGCAUGGCCCUUUGCAGAGUUUGGCUGCUUGACUUUCUCUUGAGGAACUGUGCCUGGCUGACUGCAAAGCAUACAGGGACAUGUGGUCAUCAAUCUACUAAAGAGGAAGAAUCCUACUGAUGGAUGCAUUUGGAAAGACAGGAGCCUACCAUAACUGUCUUCUGAGAGUCUUCAUCCAGCAGCAGAUGGAAACAGAUGCAGAGACCCACAGCUAAACCUCCAGAGGAGCUUGGGAAGUCUUGUGGAAGAGAGGAGACAGGAUUGAGUGAGCCGGACGGCUCAAGGACAGGACAAGAAAACCUACAGAGUGAACUAAUCUCUGCCCAUGGGAGCUCAUAGAGCCUGAACCACCAACCAAAGAAUAUGCAGGGGCUGGACCUAGGCUCCCUACACAUUUGUGGCAGAUGUUCAGCUUGGUCUUCAUGUAGAUCCCCUAAGAAUUGGAGCAGGGGCUGUCCCUGACUCUGUUGACUGCCAUUGGAUCGCCUUCCUGUAGCUGGGCUGCUUGAUUGGGCCUCAGUGGGAGAGGAUGCACUUAGUCAUGCUUUGACUUGAUGUCCCAGGACAGGGUGUUACCCAAGAGGGGCUUCUUCUUUUCUGAAGAGAAGGGGAGGAGGUAAUGGGGGAGAGAUUUGUAAGGGUAGGACUGGGAAGGGGCCUAUGAUCAAGAUAUAAAGUAAAUAAAUUAAUGAGAGAAAAAAA